CUCUCACAGCUCCCAUCUCCCGGCUGAGCCAGUUUGUUGAUUUUAUUCUUUCCAAAGUGCACCAAAGAUUUACUGUUCCUAGUGCUCAGGACGAGGUCUCAAGUUCAACGCUCUCCAUCCAUCACUGCAGCUCCUAGAAGCCUACACACUAGUCAGCGCAAGUCUUUUGUAAUUCAAGGAGAGAUGAUCAGAACUCAUAAUCAUGCAGAAGCCAAAUAAGCUAAGCUGACUGAAGAAGCCCAAGGACCUGCCUAGCAGAUUUGCAAAUUGUUCUUAAGACAUCAUAUGGUAGGGGAAAAAAAAAGUGGGAGUGGCAACUCAAAAGGAUCAAGGGAAAGAUAAGAAAAGCUUUAACCACAUAAAAAGGCUCCCUGUCUCCUCUGAGGUCUUGUCAACAUCCCCAAUCCUCCCCUGCACCCUCAGUGUGCAGCAGGGAUAAGCUAGCCUCAUAACUGAAGAGAUCCAGUUCCGUAUCCACCCUCCUCAAUGAACACAGUGGGUGAAGUGGGAAUAGCCACCCUAUGCUGCUGACCUUGGAAUAAACCCAGUUUUCCAAAUUAAAGUGAACCAUC
rnacentral:lncRNA from 1 species